CCUACGGGGGGCAGCAGUAGGGAAUAUUGCUCAAUGGGCGAAACCCUGAAGCAGCAACGCCGCGUGGAGGAUGAAGGUUUUAGGAUUGUAAACUCCUUUUGUUAGAGAAGAUUAUGACGGUAUCUAACGAAUAAGCACUGGCUAACUCCGUGCCAGAAGCCGCGGUAAUACGGAGGGUGCAAGCGUUACUCGGAAUCACUGGGCGUAAAGAGUGCGUAGGCGGGGUAAUAAGUCAGAUGUGAAAUCCUGUGGCUUAACCACAGAACUGCAUUUGAAACUGUUACUCUGGAGUGUGGGAGAGGUAGGUGGAAUUCUUGGUGUAGGGGUGAAAUCCGUAGAGAUCAAGAGGAAUACUCAUUGCGAAGGCGACCUGCUGGAACAUUACUGACGCUGAUGCACGAAAGCGUGGGGAGCAAACAGGAUUAGAUACCCUUGUAGUC
rnacentral:rRNA from 1 species